rfam:Camelus ferus unplaced genomic scaffold scaffold1195, whole genome shotgun sequence.
GAGGGUAUACCUUAGUGGUAGAGUGCAUGCUUAGCAUGCAGGAGGUCCUGGGUUCAAUCCCCAGUACCUCCA